rnacentral:misc_RNA from 1 species
AGUCGUAACAAGGUUUCCGUAGGUGAACCUGCGGAAGGAUCAUUGUCGUGACCCUUAAACAAAACAGACCGUGAACAUGUCAUCCAUUCUGUCGGGCUUCGGUCCGGCAUAGGUCCCUGACCUCUUUUUCGGAGGCGGGAUCACCAAAGAACCCACGGCGCCGAAGGCGUCAAGGAACACUGAUAUUGCCUUGCUCGGGUGUGCGUUUGGCUUGCCACUCGCGCCCCGUGCAGCGAUGAUAUAUGAAUCAACACGACUCUCGGCAACGGAUCUCUUGGUUCUG